UACGGAAGGGGCAAGCGUUGUUCGGAAUCAUUGGGCGUAAAGGGCGCGUAGGCGGUCCGAUAAGUCCCGUGUGAAAUCCCUCGGCUCAACUGAGGAAUGGCACGGGAAACUGCCGGGCUUGAGUUCGGGAGAGGGAAGCGGAAUUCCGGGUGUAGCGGUGAAAUGCGUAGAUAUCCGGAGGAACACCGGUGGCGAAGGCGGCUUCCUGGACCGACACUGACGCUGAGGCGCGAAAGCUAGGGGAGCAAACGGG
rnacentral:rRNA from 1 species